rnacentral:tRNA from 1 species
GCCUGGAUGAUCCUUAGUGGUCUGGGGUGCAGGCUUCAAACCUGUAGCUGUCUAGUGACAGAGUGGUCCAAUUCUACCUUUUAGGCA